CCGCAGUGUUAUGCAGAAGUACCUUGAGGAAAGGGGUGAAUUAACCUUUGACAAGAUCUUUCAUCAGAAAAUCGGAUUUUUGCUGUUUAAAGACUAUUGCCUGAACGAGAUUGAUGAAGCCGUCCCUCAGCUGAAGUUUUAUGAAGAGAUAAAAGAAUACGAGAAGCUGAACUCUGAGGACGAGCGUCUGACCCGAAGUCGGCAGAUUUACGACAUGUACAUAAUGAAGGAGCUCCUGUCCUGUUCGCACCCUUUCUCAAAACAAGCUGUGGAUCACGUCCAAACACAUCUAGCCAAGAAGCAAGUGCCAGCCAGCCUUUUUCAGCCAUAUAUAGAAGAAAUUUGUGAUAGUCUCCGAGGCAAAAUAUUUCAAAAAUUUAUGGAAAGUGACAAGUUUACUAGAUUUUGCCAAUGGAAAAACGUAGAACUAAAUAUUCACCUGACCAUGAAUGACUUUAGUGUACAUAGAAUAAUAGGAAGAGGGGGAUUUGGUGAAGUGUACGGUUGCAGAAAAGCAGACACUGGAAAAAUGUAUGCAAUGAAAUGUUUAGAUAAGAAGAGAAUCAAGAUGAAGCAAGGAGAAACGUUAGCCUUAAAUGAAAGAAUUAUGCUGUCUCUUGUCAGUACGGGAGACUGUCCUUUCAUAGUCUGCAUGACCUACGCCUUCCACACCCCGGACAAGCUCUGCUUCAUUCUGGACCUGAUGAAUGGAGGAGAUCUGCACUACCACCUCUCCCAACACGGCGUGUUUUCGGAAAAAGAAAUGAGGUUUUAUGCUACUGAAAUCAUCCUGGGUUUAGAACACAUGCACAACCGCUUUGUAGUAUACCGAGACCUAAAGCCGGCAAAUAUCUUGUUGGAUGAGCACGGGCACGUGAGGAUAUCUGACCUCGGGCUGGCUUGUGAUUUCUCCAAAAAGAAGCCACACGCUAGUGUAGGUACCCAUGGAUACAUGGCUCCGGAGGUGCUCCAGAAGGGAACAGCGUACGAUAGCAGUGCGGACUGGUUCUCCUUAGGCUGCAUGCUUUUCAAACUUCUGAGAGGUCAUAGUCCUUUCAGACAGCACAAAACCAAAGACAAGCAUGAGAUUGACCGGAUGACGCUCACCGUGAAUGUGGAGCUACCAGAUUCGUUUUCUCCUGAACUGAAGUCCCUCUUGGAAGGGCUCCUGCAACGGGACGUUAGCAAGAGACUUGGAUGCCAAGGAAGAAGUGCACAAGAAGUAAAAGAACAUCCUUUCUUCAAGGGCAUCGAUUGGCAGCAAGUCUAUUUACAAAAGUAUCCUCCACCAUUGAUUCCUCCCCGGGGAGAAGUAAACGCAGCGGACGCAUUUGAUAUUGGGUCGUUUGAUGAAGAGGACACUAAAGGCAUUAAGUUGCUCGAUAGUGACCAGGAACUGUACAAGAACUUCCCCCUGGUGAUAUCGGAGCGUUGGCAGCAAGAAGUAGCAGAAACUGUUUACGAUGCAGUAAAUGCAGACACAGAUAAAAUUGAGGCCAGAAAAAGGGCUAAAAAUAAGCAGCUCGGCCACGAGGAAGACUAUGCGCUCGGGAAGGAUUGUAUUAUGCACGGGUACAUGCUGAAAUUGGGGAACCCGUUCCUGACUCAGUGGCAGCGGCGUUACUUUUACCUCUUCCCAAACCGACUGGAAUGGCGAGGAGAAGGAGAGUCACGGCAAAACCUACUGACAAUGGAACAAAUCGUAUCGGUGGAAGAAACGCAAAUUAAAGAUAAGAAAUGCAUCUUGCUGAGAAUUAAAGGAGGAAAACAGUUUGUCCUGCAGUGCGAGAGUGACCCAGAAUUUGUUCAGUGGAAAAAAGAGCUGACAGAAGCUUUCACUGAGGCACAGAGGUUGCUGCGUCGGGCCCCAAAGUUUCUCAAUAAAUCUCGCUCAGCAGUCGUAGAGCUUUCAAAACCACCGCUCAGCCACAGGAAUAGCAAUGGUCUGUAGGAGACACGGGGAGCAAAGCUCACGUAGGGGAAGCUACUUUGUGAACAUGUCGAGUUUCACAGAAUCCUUAUGAAUUACUUUGUGCAAUCCUGGAUGCGGGAUGUGCUUAGAAGAGGAAGAAAUUAGAUGUUUACAGCGUGGGAUGAUGUCGGAACUCUGUCUCUGGAGGUUGUGAAGCCUGGAACAAUGGCAAGUGAAUUCGUGCUCCUAGCAGCGGUGGAAAUGACCGAGCCUAGAGGCUGGAUGUUGCUCCCAUGCAUUCCCACACCCUGGCGGUGUCUAAACCGUGGUCCAUUGCUCUGCAACUGCUGACGGAAGGAAGAUGCUGGUUUCUCCGCAAUACCCUCGUUUGGUGCGUCCCGAGCCUGGAGACUUGAAACGGUCGCUGCUGGCUGGGAUCGCACGCCUGUGCGCGACACCGACCGACCCCUCGGCUGCGGAAGGAGCUGCAGACUUGCCCCGGUGGAUCACCUUUAAUCUGUCGUGUUGCCAUGUCCUUUCCGACCAUUACUGCUGACUUGAUGAUAACCUUUCUCCAUACUGCUGAUGAUCAACAGCGUGACUCUUAUGCACUUCAAAGUACUGAAUUCUAACUGUCCUGUGGUUUAAAUGUUAUUGCUACUUCAUGGAAACGUUGAACUCGAAUUACUCACUUAGUUUGUUGUACUCACUGGUAGUAGCUACCACCGUUUCGCUUCUUCUUACGUAUAUGCAGUCCUAUAACUGACACAAUAGAGUAAUAAUUGGUGAAGAGGAAUUUAUGGUAGCUUCAUCUAGUGCUCUGUUGUAUAAAUUGACUGUUUUAGCACAGUUUUUAAAGAGCAGAUUCCUUCUGACAAGUUUACAGCGAACAUAAAGACAGUUCUUUUCCAUUUCAGGUCAAGCGCACUUUUUAAAAAUUAAAGAGAAAUUACUCCAAUCCACUGCAUCCUAGUGCAUGUCCUGGGUUAAAUGCCUGGGUGCCUCGGUACGUAUCCUGGAGCACUCUGCUGUUACGGGGCUUGUGGAUCCUUCCCUGUUGCACACAAAGCCACGAAGCGAGCGUGGUCUCAUAGCGUAGGUGCCCCAGACUUUGCCCUGUAGCCCAGCUCAGGAGGUUCGUGCGCACAUCGCGUGGCUCGGCUUGCAAAAGGAGUUUUUAAUUUUCUUUUCUAGAGAGUUCGGACGGUCCGCGUUGAAAUCAGGCUGAGAAUGCUGAGGAUGGGACGGACAAAGUGAGCUGAUCAAAUGCCAGAUUUGUAUUAAUUCUGCUUGGGACAUAGGCCGUGUCAUGUGGAAACGCUUGCUAAAGUGAAGAUAUGAUCUCUUCACUGUUUAACUUCAGGCAUGCGAAGUCGGCCUUCUCCUGGCUAAGGCGAGGUUUUGUAAGAGAUGGGUCAGGGCUUAAUUUAAGCUUUUUUUCUGAUUCAGUAAACACCUUCGAGAACAUUUGCUGCCUAAUUACGGUGGUACAGCUCUCACCAUCCCUAAAGGCGGUGGGGGGCUGCGUCUUCGUAAAUGGGAGCAGAAGUUCCAGCCCCAGCCCGCUCUGCCCAGCGGGGGCGCGGGGCUCGUGUGCCUUGUGCCGCUAACAGAGGACCACCGAGUUCCAGGCCCAGGCCCUCGUAGAAAAGUACAAAUUGGCAAAACCAGGAGAAUUAAUUUGAAAGCAUUCGUUUAUCCUGAGCACGCUUGUCAGACAAUUGGAUGUACUCGCUUCUAGGAGCGGGAGCGGCUUUACUCUGCGUCGCACGCGCUUCCGCACGCGGGCGCGCUCUGUCUUACCCUGGGCUGCAGCAGGAGCGGAAAAAUGCGUUUUGGAAGAGUCAGGUGGUAUCUUUUUAAUGGGUUUUUUUUCCCCCGUUUAUUCCCGUUUAUUUUUCCCAUUUCCCAUUCUCACUGGUAAGUGGCGCCCAGCCUCUCGGCAUCUCCCUAGGGAGCAGCCGUGGUACUUGCUGAGGUGCGGCACGGGGGACGCCUCAUCCCGCUGGCGCUGACUGGGCACGGGCUGCUGCUAAGCGGUCCCUCUAAUAAGCGAUGCUCUGAUUUUUUUUUGUCUUGAUUUGGAAAAAAACC